UACGUAGGGCGCGAGCGUUGUCCGGAUUUAUUGGGCGUAAAGGAUGCGUAGGCGGAUAUUUAAGUCAGAUGUGAAAUACCCGGGCUCAACUUGGGUGCUGCAUUUGAAACUGGAUAUCUAGAGUGCGGGAGAGGUAAGUGGAAUUCCUAGUGUAGCGGUGAAAUGCGUAGAGAUUAGGAAGAACACCAGUGGCGAAGGCGGCUUACUGGACCGUAACUGACGCUGAGGCAUGAAAGCGUGGGGAGCAAACAGG
rnacentral:rRNA from 1 species